GACGAACCGUGCGAACGUUGUUCGGAAUCACUGGGCUUAAAGGGCGCGUAGGCGGGUUCGCAAGUCUGUGGUGAAAGCCUCCAGCUUAACUGGAGAAGUGCCAUGGAUACUGCGCAUCUUGAGGAGGGUAGGGGCGUCUGGAACGGUCGGUGGAGCGGUGAAAUGCGUUGAUAUCGACCGGAACUCCGGUGGCGAAGGCGAGGCGCUGGACCCUUUCUGACGCUGAGGCGUGAAAGCCAGGGGAGCAAACGGG
rnacentral:rRNA from 1 species